AGACGAGGCCAGACGGGGAAAGGGCUCAGAGAGGUAAAGGGCUCGGAGUCGCUGGGGGGAGGGGUUCCCACUGGAGGUAACUGAGAGGUGCAGGGGGGCUCGGAGAAUACCGGCUGCAGGGAACGAAGCCGAAGGUUCUGAACGGUCAAGCGAAAAGGCCAGGUGCAGGGAGGCGAAAGGAGGCCAGAGGUGAGGCCCGGGGCGCGGAGCUGCCCAGGGCGCGGCGCAGGCGGAGGACGAACUGCUGAGGGAGGGACCUGCCAACCGCAGCCAGGAGGUGGCGGGGGCAACUGCAGAUCCCCGGAAAAGCAGCUCCUGAGCCAACACAACUUUCAGUGCAAACAGCAGGAGAAAUCCUGCGAGCCCCCCCUUCUCCGGGCCGGAGCCCGGGUGCACGCUCGUCCCAAACCCGCCGCGCUGCCCACCUUCCGGAGAGGAACCCCGCGCGCGGCAGAGCCGGACGCCAGGGGCUGGACGCCCAACCACCUAGUCACUCCCCAGGACGCAGUUAUCGCGCGCAAAGCAGCUGGGGGACCCCGCAAGGAAACUCAGGCACAAUGGAGCCCGCUUCUUUUUCUGUCAACUCUGAAUGCUAUGUCUGGUUUGGUCCUGGCUGCUAGUUCGAAGCUGGAACAUCCUCCAGAGCUGGGGCCCAUUUCCUUUUAUUUGCCUUGGGCCCCAAAUGAAAAGCAUCUAUCCGCAUGCCUAAUAAAAAUUUUCUUAAAUCGGGCCACGCAGGCUUUUUCCCAGGUUCUGCGCCCUGACCCCAUUCCCUCUGCUCAUGCUUUUGGCAUUGUAUUGGAGUGUGUUGACUUGACCAAGCUCCCAAACAACCUCCCUGCUCCACCUCAGCUUGGUCUGCCCAGAGGCUCGUACCCCAACCAUCACCCCCCAGCCACCAGAUCGGUGGCAGUAUGUUGUUGGGUCUUGUUGACAUUUUAGAGAGAAAAGCGCCAGAGGUGAAGUUUUCUCGGGUUUUAUAUCUCAAAGCGAUUUGUUCUUGGGAACAGAAUUCUGUCUGAAGUAUUAAUAAUUCGGCUCUAGGUGUCCAGCCCCGUUCAUAUUCAUGAUGUGAAACGGGCAACCAUGCACCUAUCCCUGCAGAACCCACUCCGGGUACAAAUCCGGUAACCUUUCAAGACGCGUGUCAAGGGAAGCUGGAGACCUGGCUUUCCCAGUGGGGGUUCAGCUCCCGGGAGGGGGGAGAGGAGCCCGAGGCCCGCGCCGUCUCGUUUCCUGGUAGGAGAAGGUGCAGGCGGAGGCGGGGCCUCCCGUGAUACAGGUGGCAGCUCUCGUCCCCUGAGAGCGGGCGAAGGCCAGGGUCCCACACUCGCAGCGCUGCGACGGCGCUCGGGACCUCCCUCGUCCACUGCUUGAGUUCCAGAGGUGGGUGCUUCCCUGUCCUGAACUUCAGAGUGCGGAGUCAUAAAUGGGUUCCGGCUGGCUUACUGCAGUAGCCUCGCUCCUCCCCAGCCCCGGUAACUCCGAGCUACCCGUCCAGGCCCUCGGGCGUCGCGGGGGCAGGGACUGGGCGCGGAACGAGGCAGGGAGGGACCUGGAAAAACCACCCAGAUUGCAUUGCAGUGGGCGAGGCCGCCUGGAGGAGCCGGUUCCCCCUAACCACCUCCCCGUGGGGCUCUCGGUGCGCGGUUCCCAGGUGCUCAGCUCUGCUGGGCCCAGGAGGUGCCGCCUCACAGGGACGCGGAACCCCGUGCGUGGCCCCCGCCGGGUGGAACAGAUAGCGCGGGGCGGUCCGGAGGCUCGUCGCCAAGCAGGUGACUCUUGCUGAAAAAGUGGUUGGAACACUUGAGGAAACCCGGCCCCGCCUGUUCUUUCUAGGUCUUUGGAGUUUGGAUUAAUCAUUUGUGUAGCCCGUUUGGAUAAACCGAAGACUUUAUUAAAUCAGCGCGUUUAACAGGAAUUCCGCAGUAGUAUCCACAUUAGAAUCUUGAGUCUUGGAGUUGAACAUAUUCACACAGACUUGCCUUCUUCCUGUUUAGUUUAUGCCUUGUGUUCCGUUAUUGGAACGCUAAGCUUGUGGGAGUUGUUUACAUCCUACUGCUCAAGGUCAUCGCUAAGGUGUGAUUUUUCACAAAAAGAAUUUGCAACCUCCGGCAUGAAUGACUUAAGGGAAGUCUAAUCCCGGUUUCUGAUUUUUUUUUUUUUUUUAAUUUAAAAGUUAAUCUUUCUGGGCCGGGCGCGGUGGCUCACGCCUGUAAUCCCAGCACUUUGGGAGGCCGAGGCGGAUCACGAGGUCAGGAGUUCGAGACCAGCCUGACCAACAUGGUGAAACCCCGUCUCUACUAAAAACACAAAAAUUAGCCGGGCGGGGUGGCGCGCACCUGUAAUCCCAGCUGCUCGGGAGGCUGAGGCAGGAGAAUCGCUUGAACCUGGGAGGCGGGGGGUUGCAGUGAGCCGAGAUCUGGCCAUUGCACUCCAGCGUGGGCAACAGAGUGAGACUCCAUCUCAAAAAAAAAGGUUAAUCUUUCCAACUAGAUUUUCAAGGAUGAGGAUUUUGUUGUUGUUGUUGUUGUUGUUCUCAAAUGUAUUCCCAGGGCUUGGAACAGAGCCUGACAUAUACUAGGCACUCAACAAAUAUUUGUUGAAUGAUUGUAAUGAGUAACACCCAUUUUUGCAGAUCUUUGUCUUCUGAGCCUAGGGCAUAGGUCAUCACUGCAGGGGUGAGAUUGUCAAAAUGGGAGUCUACAGGUAAUUUAAGACUUAAAUGUUUAAAGAGUAUGUGCUCAUUCUUCAACAAACUUACUUUUGUUAAAUUAAAAUGGUAAAAUGUGGUGGAGGGGUUGGAAUAUAUGUAAUUCAAGACAGUUCUGAAUACAAAAAUGUUUUACUGUCUAUCACCACCAUCUAUAAAUCUAAUUCACUAAGGAUAAUCUGUGUAAGGUGGCUGGAAAGAACCUUGAGGAGAGAGGCUUAUUUAAGUAUUGGCUCAGGACCACACCUAAAAUUCUCAAAACGUUGAGAUUCUGUUGUUUUGUUUUUAAGCGCCAGAGACCCAAGUUGAGGAACAGCCUAUAAAAUAACUGGCCUGUACUCUUACAUACAUGAAAGCCAUCAAAGACAAAGACUGAAGAAGAACUUUUGCAGAUUAAAGGACUUUAAGAGACAUGAUCCUGAACCAGAAAAAGUAAAAAAUAAAAAAAUAAAAAGAUCUGUAGAUUAGAUAAUAGUUUUAUAUCCAUGUUAAUUUCCCAUUUGUUGUAAUAUUACUGUGGUUGGGCAAGAGAGUGUCUUUGUUGGUGGAAGUAUCUACUGAAGUAUUUAGGGGUAAAGAGGAAUCAUGUCUGUAACUUAUGCUCAAAAGGUUCAGACAAAAUAUAUGUAAAGGGAAUGAUAAAGCAAACGCAAUAAAAUGUUAACAUUGGGGAAUCUGUAUAAGGGAAUUAUUAACUUUUCUGUAAGUCUAAAAUUAUUUCAAAUUAAAAAUAAUUUUUUUAAGCCUCA
rnacentral:lncRNA from 1 species